rnacentral:lncRNA from 1 species
AACAUUCCUAUUCUAAAGGACUUGGCCAAUGCCAACUGUUGUGAAACCCAAUGCUUGCAAUUUGAAACUUCAUCUGAUACAUCAUUGAAGAAUCCCUUUGAGUUCUGUAACACCUCAAAAUUUGCCCUCCUUUCUUGGGACUAGCUUAGCAUAUUGCAUUUCAUCUUGUAGGUCAUUAGUCAUUGCAUCUUUGCAUAUCAUGUGGCAACAAUAAGCAAGUCAUCCUCCUAGGUCUUGAUCAGAAG